UUUAUUGGAGAGUUUGAUCCUGGCUCAGGAUGAACGCUGGCGGCGUGCCUAAUACAUGCAAGUCGAGCGAAUGGAUUAAGAGCUUGCUCUUAUGAAGUUAGCGGCGGACGGGUGAGUAACACGUGGGUAACCUGCCCAUAAGACUGGGAUAACUCCGGGAAACCGGGGCUAAUACCGGAUAACAUUUUGAACUGCAUGGUUCGAAAUUGAAAGGCGGCUUCGGCU
rnacentral:rRNA from 2 species